rnacentral:rRNA from 1 species
GGGGGGGGGGGGGGGGGGGGGGGGGGCGGGGGGGGCGGGCGGGGGGGGGGGGCGUGGGGGGGGGGCUCGGGGGGCGGACGGGGGGGGAACACGUGAGUAACCUGCCCUUGACUUUGGGAUAACUUCAGGAAACUGGGGCUAAUACCGGAUAGGAGCUCCUGCUGCAUGGUGGGGGUUGGAAAGUUUCGGCGGUUGGGGAUGGACUCGCGGCUUAUCAGCUUGUUGGUGGGGUAGUGGCUUACCAAGGCUUUGACGGGUAGCCGGCCUGAGAGGGUGACCGGCCACAUUGGGACUGAGAUACGGCCCAGACUCCUACGGGAGGCAGCAGUGGGGAAUAUUGCACAAUGGGCGGAAGCCUGAUGCAGCAACGCCGCGUGCGGGAUGACGGCCUUCGGGUUGUAAACCGCUUUCGCCUGUGACGAAGCGUGAGUGACGGUAAUGGGUAAAGAAGCACCGGCUAACUACGUG